rnacentral:sRNA from 1 species
UCUCUAUAGCCUGUGCAUGGAUAUUAUGC